UCUGGUGGUCUGAGCGAGGUGGAACCACCCGUUCCCAUCCCGAACACGGAAGUGAAACGCUUCAGCGCAGACGAUACUGAGGGGUCACCCCCUUGGGAAAAUAUGUCACUGCCAGGG
rfam:Chloroflexi bacterium RBG_13_60_13 RBG_13_scaffold_23637, whole genome shotgun sequence.